CUUAAACGCGUGAAGAACUACCGAAUCAUCAUGAUCGAUGAAUCCCACGGUUCCCGUCGCUAACAAACUCCUCGAUCGGAUUCCUCAGGCGUAUAAUAUUCAAAAAGCCCGCCUCUGGCGCGCAGCAUAUUUCGAUCCCCUUGUGAAGAACACUUCGAGAUCGGCUUUAGCCAGCUCGAUCCCUCCGCUCCAUAUUACGAAGAUCUAUUUCGUCGAGGGAGCCUUAGUCACAUCCAAUAUCGGGAGCCGCCGAUCAGACAGAAGAAAAAGAGAGAAAGUAGUUGCAGAGUGCGUGGAGGAAAAGAUCAUGGCGGUAGCCACAACAAUUCUGAACAUCGUGGAAGACAUCUCUCUAUUUGCUUCUUUGCAUUGUUGACUUCUGAUGAAAGAAAUUGGUGAAUGAUACAUCUCACUGGCCUGCGCUUUGUGAGUCUGUAAGUUUCUUUUGGCUUUGUUAGCAAUUGAAAGUUAAGCUUUUUAAAUUGUUCAAAAUUGACCUUAUUGUGAUUCAUGAUAUAAGACACUAACGGAUAAUUAUAAUCGUGGGCAUACAAGGUAUAUAAGCGGUUCAAAAGAAAGCCACAUUGAUUUAGUUCUAUUGUGCAUAGAUGUUAUUGCAACAUGUUCAGAAUCUUAAACGUUCUAUCAUUGACUCUGUUUAAUUAGGGUCUCCACAUUAAUUUUAC